UCCGGUUUGUCACCGGCAGUCACCUUAGAGUGCCCAACUGAAUGCUGGCAACUAAGAUCAAGGGUUGCGCUCGUUGCGGGACUUAACCCAACAUCUCACGACACGAGCUGACGACAACCAUGCACCACCUGUCACUCUGCCCCCGAAGGGGACGUCCUAUCUCUAGGAUUGUCAGAGGAUGUCAAGACCUGGUAAGGUUCUUCGCGUUGCUUCGAAUUAAACCACAUGCUCCACCGCUUGUGCGGGCCCCCGUCAAUUCCUUUGAGUUUCAGUCUUGCGACCGUACUCCCCAGGCGGAGUGCUUAAUGCGUUAGCUGCAGCACUAAGGGGCGGAAACCCCCUAACACUUAGCACUCAUCGUUUACGGCGUGGACUAC
rnacentral:misc_RNA from 1 species